rnacentral:tRNA from 4 species
GGAGGGAUGGUAGAGUGGUCAAAUACAUCAGACUGUAAAUCUGACGGCGUAAGCCUACGUAGGUUCAAAUCCUACUCCCUCCACCA